GCCCAAAUGCAGCACAAACAAACAAGUUUAGGGGGUACUUCCUUUGUAAGUUGGUAGUUUGACCAGAAUUGGAAAUGAAGAUGCUCGGGUCAAAUGGCUAGAUAAAAAUGGCCCAAAUUUGAUGGAGACCAAUGAUUUAGGCAUAUGGAUGCAAUGUAAAAUUUUCAUACCAUUUUCAUAAGUAAAAAUGGUACUUCCUUCACAGUGCUUCAAUCUGGACACAACCUUGGGAAAUUUACCUAGGAAGAUUUACUAGCUGAAAUGGGCUGAUUUUUGGUGUACAUGGGUAAUAUGUCAUAAUGUAUCACCCUGCAAAAUUUCAGCCGAAGGAAAUCUGUACAUAAUUUGCAAAGGGAUGUUGUGCUCAAUUUUU
rnacentral:lncRNA from 1 species